rnacentral:rRNA from 1 species
ACGAACGCUGGCGGCGUGCUUAACACAUGCAAGUCGAACGGAAAGGCCCUGCUUUUGUGGGGUGCUCGAGGGGCGAACGGGGGAGUAACACGUGAGUAACCUGCCCUUGACUUUGGGGUAACUUCAGGGAACUGGGGGUAAUACCGGAUAGGAGCUCCUGCUGCAUGGUGGGGGUUGGAAAGUUUCGGCGGGUGGGGAUGGACUCGCGGCUUAUCAGCUUGUUGGUGGGGUAGUGGCUUACCAAGGCUUUGACGGGUAGCCGGCCUGAGAGGGUGACCGGCCACAUUGGGACUGAGAUACGGCCCAGACUCCUACGGGAGGCAGCAGUGGGGAAUAUUGCACAAUGGGCGGAAGCCUGAUGCAGCAACGCCGCGUGCGGGAUGACGGCCUUCGGGUUGUAAACCGCUUUCGCCUGUGACGAAGCGUGAGUGACGGUAAUGGGUAAAGAAGCACCGGCUAACUACGUG